rnacentral:lncRNA from 1 species
AUUUGGAUGUCUGGUCGAUCAAGAACAGGAGAGGGCGACCUCCCUCAUCCUCAAAACCCUAAAAUUCACUAAACCCACAAAUUGAAGGCUCAAUCCAAGUUGAAAUCAAAAUCUGAACAUGGAAUCGUGAUUACCUCGUCAAAAGGAGUCAUAAGUUUGACGCUAAACGAGCUAGGUGGAAGCUUGAGGACGAAGCGGGUCAAACAAAUCAAUAAGGAAAAGUAAGGCAUAGUUUGGAUGCGAGGAUAAAUCGGCCUAUGAAUUAGCGAUGCUAUGAAUUAGCGAUUAUUGAGACAAGGUAUUAAAACGGGUCAAUAUGUUGAUCCGAACCAGGUGAAUGUUAUAUGCUUCCGCAUGAAGAUCAGGCCACAAGCAAGAACCGAACACACCUCUCAAUGAAGCUUCCGCAUUCGAUCUAGUUUUCUUUUAAUAAAAGUGGAUUAUGUAAACACUUUUAACGAUGUUUUGGAUGUUGUAAACAUGUUUAAAUACUUAUGAUGUAAAAGUUUUUGUUAAGUGGCAUUUUUCAUAUAAAAUGCUUACUUUAAUGUUAUGUAAAUGUUAAAAAUUAUUAUGGGUGUUACAAGUUGGUAAUCAGAGCCCAAGGUUAAAAGAAUAAAGUGUUCGGUUCGAGGCUUGAUCGCAAAUCCGGUAAGUACAAGUAUGUUAAUGGUUUAGCGUAUUAAAGUGUUGUAAACAACACAUAGGGUUAUCGUGUAAUACACGUUACCCUAAUUAAAAUGAUUGAUAUAGUUGAUGAAAAUACGCGCGUUGACGCGUAUAGUAGAAAAAGCCUUGUAUUAUAAUACGGACGAUUAUUGAAGUUGAUAUUAUUAACUCUUGUAAAUGUUUUAGUUGAAGGACACUCGCAUCUAAAGAUAGCGGGAGUCUAACAAAUUGCGGACUUGACGGGGGAACGGUCCAAAGUACGACAAGUAGAACAUACUCACCAAUGACCUAAAUCACGUAUCGAUCGCGAACAAGGCUAAUGGCAAGAGAAGCCCGUUAGGGCAAGCAUUACCAGUUUGACGCUAAACGAGCUAGGUGGAAGCUUGAGGACGAAGCGGGUCAAACAAAUCAAUAAGGAAAAGUAAGGCAUAGUUUGGAUGCGAGGAUAAAUCGGCCUAUGAAUUAGCGAUGCUAUGAAUUAGCGAUUAUUGAGACAAGGUAUUAAAACGGGUCAAUAUGUUGAUCCGAACCAGAUGAAUGUUAUAUGCUUCCGCAUGAAGAUCAGGCCACAAGCAAGAACCGAACACACCUCUCAAUGAAGCUUCCGCAUUCGAUCUAGUUUUCUUUUAAUAAAAGUGGAUUAUGUAAACACUUUUAACGAUGUUUUGGAUGUUGUAAACAUGUUUAAAUACUUAUGAUGUAAAAGUUUUUGUUAAGUGGCAUUUUUCAUAUAAAAUGCUUACUUUAAUGUUAUGUAAAUGUUAAAAAUUAUUAUGG